AAAAUUUCAUUCGCACUAGUGAUAGCUAGUUUCCUCGGAAAGAUAUAAAAGUGUCCCAAAAAAUAUAAUUUAUAAUAUGAAUUAUUAUAUAUAUAUACAUGUAUUUUACUAAUUUUUUUGAGGAUAAGCUCAAAAAAAAGUUAAGGAUCAUUCUGAAUUAAGUUUGCUAUGUGGGCUUAAAAUUGGCCACUAUAAAAGUUUUUUAUAAAAUAGUAAUUUUAACUCUACAGAUAAAUAUAAUUUAAACUAACCCCUUACGGGGAUAAAAACUUUAAUUUAAAAAAGUUUUAUGCCUAUGCUAGAAUGAGUAUUAAAACUUAAUUAUAGAAGAUUUAUUUGUGUCUUCUUCAAAGAUAAUUAAAAAAAUUAAUUAAUUAGAAGGAAUUCGGCAAAUUUAGUUGUUUCGCCUGUUUAUCAAAAACAUGGCUCUUUGAUUACAUAAAUAUAAGGAGUCGGGCCUGCCC
rnacentral:rRNA from 1 species